AUGGCCUCCGCAACCGAAUCUGAGUGGAGAGAAUCGAGGAUGGCCUGCUGCUCCGCCUACAGAUCCGCGUCGCUAGCGUCCCCCACAUCCUUCUCCUCCGGCUCAUCCUCAUCCCCCUCCUCUUCGUCGUUGUCGUCCUCCUCCGGCUCCUCCUCCUCCUCCUCCUCAACCUCCUCCUCUUUUUCGUCGUCCUCCUCCUCCAACUCCUCCUCCGGCUCAUCCUCCUCCUCCUCAACCUCCUCCUUUUUGUCGUCGUCGUCCUCCUCCUCCGGAUCCACUGCAUCCGGAGGUUGCCCCACGGUGAUCCGGGCUUCACACCUUGCCCGGAUCUGCUCAAGGAGCUCCAGCCGGCGCUCCCGCAUUAGAAAUGGGUGGCUCCUCACCCGGCGGCAUGGGGGCAUGGCUACUAGGCGGACGGGGAGUGGAAAGUGGUGGCGGCGGCGGACAGGCGGAGGAAAAUAUGGAUGGUAG
rnacentral:rRNA from 1 species